GUCUUCUUGUUUUUAUAUGAAGUCUUGCCUGCCCGGUGAUUUAUUUAACGGCCGCGGUAUUUUGACCGUGCAAAGGUAGCAUAAUCAUUAGUCUUUUAAUAGGGGACUGGAAUGAAGGGUUUGACGAACUGUUAGCUGUCUCAUUUAUUUUUAAAUUAAAAUUUAAUUUUUCAGUCAGAAAGCUGAAAUUUAGUUGGAAGACGAGAAGACCCUAUAGAGCUUUAUAAUUUGUGAUGUAUAUGAAGGUGAUGUUAUGACUAAAUUUAUAAUCAUUGAUUAUUUUAUUGGGGUGAUGAGAAAAUAUAAUAAACUUUUCUAUUUGUAAAACAUUGAUUUAUGAUUUAUUAGGUCCAGUCUUAUUGAUUAUUAGAUUAAGUUACCUUAGGGAUAACAGCGUUAUCUUCUCUUGGAGUUCUUAUUUACGAGAAGGCUUGCGACCUCGAUGUUGGAUUAAGAUAAUAGUUAGGUGCAGCAGCCUAAUGUAUAAGUCUGUUCGACUUUUAAAUUCUU
rnacentral:rRNA from 1 species